rnacentral:lncRNA from 1 species
AAGAAAUGUUAUGAACUCUGAAUUUAAGCAUCAAGGGAGAGGGAGAGAAAGCAACAGGGAGUUUUCUGCCAGAUUCGAUCUGAUUUUACUUAUCUCUGAUGAUUUGGGACUUGUUAGAAAACAUGGUUGUGGUUGGUUAUCGGUGAACUGGAGGUGGCAGUCAUUUGAAUUUUCUGGAGGUAAAAAAUUCUAAUUAAUUUCUUGGAUUUGAGAUUUUAUUGAUAUACACGUUCAAUUGAUUGUGUUUAUUAAUAUUUAUAUUGUCAAAUUGAAAUAUUUAAAUAAAAAAAUAAGUUUGUGCGAAAUUGGCAAUUGGGUGUGAGCUAAAGUGGAUAGGAAAUCAUUUUGCCGAAAUAUAAAAAAGAUGAUAGGGUCAGGAAUGUAGCUCUGAACAUCUUCUUCAUUCCUUAGUUAUUUGUGGUCCCUCUCCACUUCCUUUUUUCAUGUUUAGAUAAUCACAUCUAACGUCCAAAGGUACUUUUUUUUUUUUUUUCUAUUACGAUAUUUUUUUAACAUAUGUGAUUCCUUUUUUGGAUUUAAAAUAUUUUAUUGGAUGUAAAAAAGUUAUCAAAAUAUAUGAAAUACUGUUUGGCCUUAACGUCCAAAACCGCUUUUUAUAUAUUUUAGUAGCUUUUUUAACACCUACAAAGUAUUUUAAGUCAAAAAUAAUAUUUAGAUUUCGGACUCGUUUUUUUUCAAGCAUACUUUUAUAAGUCAAACGACAAAAACAAUACUCUUUUAGGUCAAACUUAUACUUCACUCCAUGUUUGCAACUUUUAUUCGUUGAUUAGGUUUCUUAAAAACUUUCAACCUUUUGCAUUUUGUUAUUAUUUUGUUAAACACUAUGGUAAUCAAUGGUGAAACUAGAUAUUUUACAAAGAAUAUAGUUUACACUAAAUAAGGAUAACAAUUGAAUUUAUAUGUGAUUUUAAGAAUACGUAAUAUAACUUGGUACAAAUUAAGAAGAAUAAAUUAAUAUUGAAAUUGACGAUAAAAGAAUAAAUGCAAACCACACAGAUUAAAUAACCUUAGCCGUCGAGUUCAGUCACUCUUGAACCAAAAGGUAUUUUAACUGAAAUAUGAAAGAGUAACAAGAUAAUGAAAACUAGAAAAUGAUAGUAUAUUGCUUUAUGUUGCGUGAAUAUGACGUGUUUUAACAAUAACCAGACCUUAUUUAUAUAGUAUGAGCGUCCUACUCUUGACACAAUUCUAUACGAGGUAAGAAAUAUCAUGAUUAGCUAGUUAAUCGGCCUCUUCUUGAUAUGUACCAGGAUUUUUGCCGGAAUCCUCGCCCGUUGCGGAUAUUUUGGCUUUUCGUUAUCUAGCUUGGUAAGCUUCUCUGGAUCUUGCUCGAUCUCUAUCUUGCUUGGUCUCGAUCUUGAUCGGUCUCUAGGUCACGAGCUGGGCAUUAUAACUUUAUACCAUGGUUCGAUAUAACAUGAGAUUGAUCCUUGACCUAUCAUGUUCGAGUCUUGAUAAGUCAUACAAAGGGCAACCUCGAUUUUGACCGUAUAUAAAUAGUACGAUGACCCAAAAGUCCAUCUCGUAUUUUAGAACCCAAUUCGGGGGUUUGAGGCUUUUAAAACCUCAUCUUAUUUUUUCUCAAUUUAUGUGCAGAGUUCGGGCGUGUUUC